rnacentral:tRNA from 1 species
GGGUUGUGCUCAGUGGUAGAGUGCUCUCCUACCAUGCAUGAGGCACUGGGUUCGAUCCUCAGCAACACA